UGCCGGGGCAGAGGGUGCUCGUGUGAGGCUGGCACGGGGGGAAAGGCAGGAAGGAGUGCACGGAGAGGGGAGAUGUGCGGGAAUGAAAGGGCCCCAGAGCGAGGGCAGGGGGUGCCGGAGGAAAGAGGAAAGCGGGCUCCGUGAGGGGCUGGCUGCUGCUGCAGGGGAGCAGAGGGGCGCCAGGGACACCAGCCACCCUGAGGGGACCCAGCCAGGACACGGGGCACUGGCAGAGCGCCCUGGGCUCCUGGCAGCAGCUGAGCAGCCACCGCCUCCUCCGUGUUUGCUCCUUGCAGAGGCACAGCCCUGCUCUGCUGCCCUCGCUGUGGGGUGGGAGAGCUCUGGGCUUGUGGGGACGGACGGAGGGUGGCUGCUGUUCGGGACCGUGCUGGAGCUGUAGCCCCAUCGCUGCUUGCUGCUGUGGCCGUGCCCUUCUCCCCGGUGACCGCUUUCUCUGAGUCACCAGGAAAUCUGAUAAGGCUCCAAUAAAACCACUGGAGUAGCGUGGGGGGGUUGCUUGGCACUGAGGGCUCAGCCACCCUGAUUUCUUGGUUCCUCUCCAACACCCUGUCACAUGUGUGUGACCGGAACAAUCCAAACGAGUUUUGACCUGGUUUACUGCCUGAACUUUAGGAGCCAAGGGACCUUUUGGUAAAGAUUGCAGCCCCUAAUUCUUGAGAGGACUGCAUGUGGAAAAGGCAUGGGCCCUUUCCAUGACAUGUGGCAGCUUUGGAGGUGACUUUUGCUGGUUUGCAUCACUCACAUUCCUGAUUUAAGCCUCUCAAAGCGCUGGUGGUCAGAAGGCUGCAGGGAACACGGAGGGCAGGAGGGGAGCCCAGCAGCCCUGUGGCAGCUACGCAGUGGAAAAUCACCCCCAAACGUGACCCAUCAAUUAAAGCAGAUCAUCAGCCUCAGCAGGAACCCGCUAGGGCAAGCUCUCAGGCAGAUUUAUUCCUUGCUCCCUGUACCUUUCCUGAAAGGUUGUGAAAGGCCACAGCCCUGUUCCACGAGGAUACUCUCCAAGGUGUGGUUAUCCUGCAGGAGCUGCAUUGCUGCUGGAACGCCUUCUUCGCAUUCCCCAGCUUUGAGACUGCAUCAGGAAACUCCAGGUCUGACAGAACCAACAAGUCCUCCUUGGCUCCAGCCCUGUCAUUCCUGUCACCAGCUAGAGAAAAAAAUCAAGCUCCUGUGGCCCAAUUUUCUCUCCAUUAGCGAGAAAAACUUCCAUGUCAAGGGCAUCUGAAGCCUGCCUCAUUUUCUGUGUGGAGCUUUGGAUCCCCAUGGAGAUGGCAUCUGAGAAAAGAAGAUAAAACCCUUUUGUGAGGAUGGAUCCCGAUUAUUAUUUGUUUAAUUAUAGAGUCUGGACUGGUGCGGAGGCAACAGUUAACAAUUACCUUCUCUAAAGAACUUUGACAACAGCUGAAUAGGUUAAUGAGUUGCAAGGUGGAGGCAAAUCAUUGCAGCUGUCAUUUAUGAGGCUGGAGGUGCAAGGAAGAGUCCUCAGGCUUCCACCUGAUGUCUCUGAUUUAAGGGGCUUUUCCUCCUUCUUUUGGAAUAAUCAAGUAGCAAUUUUCUUCUGCCAUGCAGCUGGGAUUAUCUGGGAGCCAGGGAAUUAAGUUCCAAAAUAAAAUUUAAAGUAUUCAUUACACUUCA